rnacentral:rRNA from 1 species
CCUACGGGGUGCUGCAGUGGGGAAUAUUGGGCAAUGGGCGCAAGCCUGACCCAGCAACGCCGCGUGAAGGAAGAAGGCUUUCGGGUUGUAAACUUCUUUUCUCAGGGACGAAGCAAGUGACGGUACCUGAGGAAUAAGCCACGGCUAACUACGUGCCAGCAGCCGCGGUAAUACGUAGGUGGCAAGCGUUAUCCGGAUUUACUGGGUGUAAAGGGCGUGUAGGCGGGAAAGCAAGUCAGAUGUGAAAACCAUGGGCUCAACCUGUGGCCUGCAUUUGAAACUGUUUUUCUUGAGUACUGGGGAGGCAGACGGAAUUCCUAGUGUAGCGGUGAAAUGCGUAGAUAUUAGGAGGAACACCAGUGGCGAAGGCGGUCUGCUGGACAGCAACUGACGCUGAGGCGCGAAAGCGUGGGGAGCAAACAGGAUUAGAUACCCGUGUAGUC